rnacentral:rRNA from 1 species
GUGGGGAAUAUUGGACAAUGGGCGAAAGCCUGAUCCAGCCAUGCCGCGUGUGUGAAGAAGGUCUUCGGAUUGUAAAGCACUUUAAGUUGGGAGGAAGGGCAGUAAGUUAAUACCUUGCUGUUUUGACGUUACCGACAGAAUAAGCACCGGCUAACUUCGUGCCAGCAGCCGCGGUAAUACGAAGGGUGCAAGCGUUAAUCGGAAUUACUGGGCGUAUAGCGCGCGUAGGUGGUUUUGUAAGUUGGAGGUGAAAUCCCCGGGCUCAACCUGGGAACUGACUCCAAAACUGCAUGACUAGAGUACGGUAGAGGGUAGUGGAAUUUCCUGUGUAGCGGUGAAAUGCGUAGAUAUAGGAAGGAACACCAGUGGCGAAGGCGACUACCUGGACUGAUACUGACACUGAGGUGCGAAAGCGUGGGGAGCAAACAGGAUUAGAAACCCUGGUAGUCC